GUUUAUGAUGAUUUACCACAUUUCACGACGGUCAACUGCGUCUUCUCCCCGUUAGGAGGAGGCUUUGAUGAUAUUCCGGCCCUGACAGGCCGUGGUCCUGAAC
rnacentral:snoRNA from 1 species